rnacentral:snRNA from 1 species
AUGGUACUGCAGAGGCGGUACCAUAGUGAAUGGGGGUUAUCUGAUGUGUGGUUAUUGCUAGUUGAAAACUAUAUAUAUAAGUGCAGACAUGGCUUUGUGGUUAAGAAGUUUGUUUCCCAACCACAUGG